UACGUAGGGUGCAAGCGUUGUCCGGAAUUAUUGGCGUAAAGAGCUCGUAGGCGGUCUGUCGCGUCGGCUGUGAAACCCGGGGCUCAACCCCGGGCCUGCAGUCGAUACGGGCAGACUAGAGUGUGGUAGGGGAGAAUGGAAUUCCCGGUGUAGCGGUGAAAUGCGCAGAUAUCGGGAGGAACACCGGUGGCGAAGGCGGUUCUCUGGGCCUUACCUGACGCUGAGGAGCGAAAGCGUGGGGAGCGAACAGGG
rnacentral:rRNA from 1 species